GACGUAGGGCGCGAGCGUUGUCCGGAUUUAUUGGGCGUAAAGAGCUCGUAGGCGGCUUGUCGCGUCGUCCGUGAAAACCCACAGCUCAACUGUGGGCUUGCGGUCGAUACGGGCAGGCUAGAGUUCGGUAGGGGAGACUGGAAUUCCUGGUGUAGCGGUGAAAUGCGCAGAUAUCGGGAGGAACACCGGUGGCGAAGGCGGUUCUCUGGGCCUUACCUGACGCUGAGGAGCGAAAGCGUGGGGAGCGAACAGG
rnacentral:rRNA from 1 species